GACGAACGCUGGCGGCGUGCUUAACACAUGCAAGUCGAACGGAAAGGCCCUGCUUUUGUGGGGUGCUCGAGUGGCGAACGGGUGAGUAACACGUGAGUAACCUGCCCUUGACUUUGGGAUAACUUCAGGAAACUGGGGCUAAUACCGGAUAGGAGCUCCUGCUGCAUGGUGGGGGUUGGAAAGUUUCGGCGGUUGGGGAUGGACUCGCGGCUUAUCAGCUUGUUGGUGGGGUAGUGGCUUACCAAGGCUUUGACGGGUAGCCGGCCUGGGAGGGUGACCGGCCACAUUGGGACUGAGAUACGGCCCAGACUCCUACGGGAGGCAGCAGUGGGGAAUAUUGCACAAUGGGCGGACGCCUGAUGCAGCAACGCCGCGUGCGGGAUGACGGCCUUCGGGUUGUAAACCGCUUUCGCCUGUGCCGAAGCGUGAGUGACGGUAAUGGGUAAAGAAGCACCGGCUAACUACGUG
rnacentral:rRNA from 1 species